rnacentral:lncRNA from 1 species
CUCGUUUCCAGAAAUCUGCAGAAACAAACGGAAUCAAGAUCAGAGUUGUACAGCAAAAGUUAUUGACAUGCUUCUUGGACAAGAAUAAGCUUAAGCUGUUGGAAUGCUGAAACAGUUCCGACCAGUGUCAGAGUAAAGGCGAAACGGUGAACCUUAACAAAGGCUUUCAGUCUGGGACUUUUACAGUAAGUAUUUAACUCUUUCAGUUAUCAUCUCCAACAGACGGAUUGUCAUUCCAAGUUAUUUUCUGAGAGUUAAGCUUGUUUUCGUGAGAGGUGUUGGUGCAGUCUACGUUUUCGACCAGUCUGGAGACGAAGCUAAUUUGAUUAAUCAGAUGGUGUCCGAUCGGAGUAAAACCGGUGGCUACGGAUAUAGAACAUCUAGGGCUACAUUCGGACCGGAGGGAUUGAAAAGUUAACGGUCAGUUCUUGAGAUAUGCAUCUGUUUUCUCUAGUGUUCAGUUUUGGCAGAAUCAUAAUACUCAUUUAUUUUCAGACUUUCGGAGUUGCUGUGAUAGAGCCAUCAAGGGCUAUUCUGUGCUUCUCAGGUUCUUUAGAACCCGUGGCAAAGGUAAGGGUCUAUGCCGUAAAUCAUGUACCAGUGUAGAAUUCUCCCUAUGUUAGUUUAGAUUUCGAAUCAUGAUCCGUCUGUUUGAAUUGAAUCUGUUUGAGUCUUGAUUGUUAGUUAGUCAUUCAUUGUAAAUUGGAACUAGGGGUCUAGAGGAUUCAACCGUUGGUUUGAUUGUGUGAUGUUAAGAAAUGCGAUAUAUAUGUAUGUAUACAUAGUUAUGAGUAGGGACUAUGUGAGUGGGCGGGGGUCCAGAGAUGUCUGGACUAGCGACGCAGCUUUGGAGGGCGGGGGCUCAGAGACGUCUGGGCUAGCGACGCAAAUUGUGUGGGGCGUGGGUGCAGAGACGUUUGCAUUCGACGCAGCUUUGGAGGGCGGGGGUACAGAGACAGACUGUACUAGCGACGCAGCGUAUGUAUAUAUAUAUCCGUAUGAGGAGAUGCGGGGUGUAUGGACUAGCUAUAUGCUAUCAUCGCAUUGCUUGUGUUGUGUGAUGCUUUAGGCGUUUUGUUUGUUCAUGUUAGAGCUAAACUUCCAUAGUGGGAGUUCUAUUACUCAAGUCAGUGGUUUGCGUGUUUAGCAUCCCCAUACCUCACGGAGUAACUCUCCUGUUGCUCAUCCCUCUUCUUCCCCUUGCAGGUGCGCUUGCCGCCGAGUGUUGGAUAUCUGGACGGUUUGGUGUCUUUAGGAUAAUUUAUUUAUUUCGGUUUUGAUUACUAAUUUAUACGAAUAUUAGAUUCGAUUUAUUUUGAUAUAUUUUUAUACUUCAAUUUAAAAAUAUAUUUCUUUGAAAAUUAUUUUAUUAAAUGUUAUGUUAUUUUGUUCGAUUUUGAAUAAUUCGGUUUGAUUCGAUAUUUCACCGUAAGUAACACGCCGUUCUCCAUACAGGAGGUGAUGGGUGUUAUAAUUUGGUAUCAGAGCGGGGUUCCGUCACGGCACUGACCCGAGAUGGCGAUUUGUUGGGACGUGGUUUCGACUCGGUUUUAAUUCGGUUUUUAAAGAUUUUUAAUUAUGGGGUUUUGGGAGUUUAAAAAAAAAGAAAAAUACAGCACCUUUCCGUUCAGAAACUUCUAACCCAAGUGUCUUUUUAUUGACGAUGAGUUUAUCAUCGUCAUCCGUUCUCUAGCUAACAGGGUUUCAGCCAGAUGUUCGACAGAUGGAUGAUGUCACAGCUCGACUGAUUGCUUAGGUGUGUAUCAAUUUCGUCAGCCGUGUUCAGAGAUUGUCUGCAUAUGGAUAUGCGACAUUGUUGCCACCACCCUAACUUCAAGCCAUCGCUCCACGAGUUUUUGUUAUUGGAGAUU